rnacentral:rRNA from 1 species
ACCCAGAGAACUUAGCAGAGAUGCUUUGGUGCCUUCGGGAACUCUGAGACAGGUGCUGCAUGGCUGUCGUCAGCUCGUGUUGUGAAAUGUUGGGUUAAGUCCCGCAACGAGCGCAACCCUUAUCCUUUGUUGCCAGCGGCUCGGCCGGGGAACUCAAAGGAGACUGCCGGUGAUAAACCGGAGGAAGGUGGGGAUGACGUCAAGUCAUCAUGGCCCUUACGGCCAGGGCUACACACGUGCUACAAUGGCGCAUACAAAGAGAAGCGACCUCGCGAGAGCAAGCGGACCUCACAAAGUGCGUCGUAGUCCGGAUUGGAGUCUGCAACUCGACUCCAUGAAGUCGGAAUCGCUAGUAAUCGUAGAUCAGAAUGCUACGGUGAAUACGUUCCCGGGCCUUGUACACACCGCCCGUCACACCAUGGGAGUGGGUUGCAAAAGAAGUAGGUAGCUUAACCUUCGGGAGGGCGCUUACCACUUUGUGAUUCAUGACUGGGGUGAAGUCGUAACAAGGUAGGCGUAGCGAG